GAGAAAGAGAAAUAUUGUUAAGGAUAAUGGGGAGAUGUAGAGUAUUGUUGGAAUAAAAGAAAACAGUGAGGAGGUCUAGCAUAUUUUUGAAAUAAAUUAAAAUAGUGGGGAGGUGUAGGACCCACUUGGGGAGGUGGAGGGAGUAACACCCAUGCUCCAUUAAUGCAUAGAGAAAGAGAAAGAUUAUUGAGGAUAAUGAGAAGAUGUAAAGUAUUUUUGGAAUAAAAAAAAAUAAUAAGAGAAGUAUAGAGUAUUUUUGGAAUAAAAGAAACUAGUGGAGAGGUGGAUGAAUAGUUACAAUGGUGGAGAGAGCAACACCCUUACCUUUAUGUUUAGAACUGCACGAUUAGGUGUUAGAUUUACAAGACCUUUUUCUUCCUGCACCCUUAUACUCCAGGCAAAAAGACUAUAUUAUCCUUCCUUGCUCUACCACAUCACUGUUGUUGGAUUGCUGUCAUUGUGGCCGUCUUCACC
rnacentral:lncRNA from 1 species